rnacentral:rRNA from 1 species
GACAGAGGGUGCAAACGUUGUUCGGAAUUACUGGGCGUAAAGCGCGUGUAGGCGGCUAAGUAAGUCGGGCGUGAAAUCCCACGGCUCAACCGUGGAAGUGCACUCGAAACUGCAUAGCUAGAGUCCUGGAGAGGAAGGUGGAAUGCUUGGUGUAGAGGUGAAAUUCGUAGAUAUCAAGCGGAACACCGGUGGCGAAGGCGGCUUUCUGGACGACAACUGACGCUGAGACGCGAAAGCGUGGGGAGCAAACAGG